GGAAAAUCUGAUGUGCCAAGAAGUGUUCCAUACCAUUCUGAGAACUCUGGAUACCUGCUCAGACAGCUCUGUUUCAGCUAAACAGUAACAUCUGGGAGGGAAGCUUAAUGUGGAAUCAAGGAUGAAGUUUAACACAGGAAUGAGAAGUAGAGCACAUAGCUGCUAAGAUAAGCUAUAGAUGGCAGCACACCACUACCUACGAUCCGAUCACCAGCCUGGGUUUGUAAGUCAGAGCUGUUGGUCAGGAGAUGGCAGCUAAUGAGUAAUCAGUCCAAACUGAAUGGCAAAUUAAUGUCUUCAUUAAGUGAACAAACCAGCUUCCUCCAUAAACAAGGUCAGAG
rnacentral:lncRNA from 1 species